rfam:Oryza meridionalis cultivar OR44 (W2112) chromosome 2, whole genome shotgun sequence.
CCUCAGUCAUAAGUUUCCGUAUCCAACUUUAAUCAUUCGUCUUAUUUAUUUUCUAAAAAAAAAACUGAAAAAUUUGAGUCACGUUUAAAGUACUAUUCAUGUUUGAUAAUCUAAUAACAAUAAAAAUACUAAUAAUAAAAAAAUUUCAAAUAAAACGGACAAUCAAAGUUGUACACGGAAACUCAUGGCUGCGUUUAUU